ACGCACACAAAAGGCAUAAUCUGUUGAACGGUAGUCGCUCGUUAUAUCAUAUUCAACGCAAACACGCACUAAGGAGUUUACAGAUUGAGUACGUGGUCAUAGGGCACACACACUUGUGUAUGAGCUUGAGCGACCGAUCACACUAUAUGUAUUCUUUCGCUUAACUCUGUGUUUGCGUUAAACCUUCUGUGGUAGGUGUCUAGUCUACAGGCCUAACUGUUACUUGAUUUCUUGUCAAGUCAGGCAGUGGAGUGACGACAAGCGAUUGUUGCCGCUAGACUUAAAGAUUAUUCACCUCGAGUAAUGCCUGCCAUAGUUGGUACUGUGCCCAUUAAUUUGUGCAUUUGUGCUUAGAAAAAAAUUUCUUUAAACAAAACUGAAAUAUAAGUACGACUGCAAACGGUGGAUCACUCGGUUCGCUGGUCGAUGAAGAACGCAGCUAGCUGCGUUAAGCGGUGUGAAAUGCAGGACACGCCGAGCGCUUGAUUUUUGAACGCAUAUUGCAGCCUCGGGUCUUUCCCGGGGCUUCGUUUGUCUGAGGGUCGGUAUGACAUUAAAAUCAUUGUACAAGUCUGCAUCGAGUAUGCCUUUGUCGCGUCCUCGUCAGACUCAUGCUUGCACUUGAAAUUGUUGAUGCGUUAUCGUUUAAGCAUAAGCGAUCAACAGCGCAACACUACACGUUGUGCUGCGUUUAUUGUCUUAG
rnacentral:rRNA from 1 species